UUGAAACACUGGUUUUCGUACGAUUACCGAAGUUAAGCAAUGUCGAUCCUGAUAAGUACCAAGAUAGGUGACCGCUUGGGAAUACCAGGUGCUGUAAG